UACGGAGGGUGCGAGCGUUAAUCGGAAUUACUGGGCGUAAAGGGCACGCAGGCGGUUAAUUAAGUUGGAUGUGAAAUCCCCGGGCUUAACCUGGGAAUGGCAUUCAAGACUGGUUAGCUAGAGUCUUGUAGAGGGGGGUAGAAUUCCAUGUGUAGCGGUGAAAUGCGUAGAGAUGUGGAGGAAUACCGGAGGCGAAGGCGGCCCCCUGGACAGAGACUGACGCUCAUGUGCGAAAGCGUGGGGAGCAAACAGG
rnacentral:rRNA from 1 species